rnacentral:rRNA from 1 species
GACGAACGCUGGCGGCGUGCUUAACACAUGCAAGUCGAACGGAAAGGCCCUGCUUUUGUGGGGUGCUCGAGUGGCGAACGGGUGAGUAACACGUGAGUAACCUGCCCUUGACUUUGGGAUAACUUCAGGAAACUGGGGCUAAUACCGGAUAGGAGCUCCUGCUGCAUGGUGGGGGUUGGAAAGUUUCGGCGGUUGGGGAUGGACUCGCGGCUUAUCAGCUUGUUGGUGGGGUAGUGGCUUACCAAGGCUUUGACGGGUAGCCGGCCUGAGAGGGUGACCGGCGACAUUGGGACUGAGAUACGGCCCAGACUCCUACGGGCGGCAGCAGUGGGGAAUAUUGCACAACGGGCGGAAGCCUGAUGCAGCAACGCCGCGUGCGGGAUGACGGCCUUCGGGUUGUAAACCGCUUUCGCCUGUGACGAAGCGUGAGUGACGGUAAUGGGUAAAGAAGCACCGGCUAACUACGUG